ACGUAAGCCACACUUUGCUUUGCUUUGCUUUGCCGGUAUGGUACGAUACGCCAUCAAAUAAUUUUUGUUGGGCAAAGUACGAUGUACAUCUCACUCACGUGAAACGACCCAAACACAUGACAACCCUUUAAUAAUAAUAAUAUUAUUAUUAUUAUUCAUAUCAUAAUGAUUUAGAAGCUCGGCGAUCAUGCGGUGCCCCUCCUCGGCAUCACCAAACCCUCCUCCUCGCUUCCAUCCAUGGCUUCCCUCCGCACCGACAUCAACAUGGUUCCGGCCCGCGAACGGUCCAGUGGCGCUGCCGGGUAGUCGUCCUUAUCGAAGAAGCCGAACACGUUUGGGAUCAACAAGUGGAAUGCUAUCGCCCUCUGGGCCUGGGUUGAAGCUGAGCCAUGCGAGUGAAAUUAUCAGCCACAAUGUGAAGACGGGAUUCGAUCUGAGGACCUUACGAACAACUGUCAAGGCUUAACCUAGCCAACACAUUCGAUUCUGGUUUGGUUUCAAAGUUGGUAAAAGUUGUUUUCUCUCUAUAUUUCUUUUUUUUAAUCUAAGAUGUUUGAACAGUUGCUUUCUAUUUGUGAUUUGGCAGUAGGUCCAUUGAGCCAGCCAGUGAGUCAUACAUUCUUGUAUAUGUUCCAAACAUCAAAUGCUUCGCUGCCUCCGUCUUCUGUGCAAUUCUUUCUGUUGACUCUAUGCUCAUCUGCUUAGGUGUUUGCAAUCACGCGUUCCACUUUAAUCGUAUCAAUGGGUGGUGGCUCAAAGCACUCCUUUUAUACCACUUCCCUUCCUAUGCAAUUUUACUCCCUCAGACAAUUGUGAGUAGCUCAUUUAUAUAUAGGACAUGAAUCUGCUGCUGCUGGUUAA